CCUUAGAGUUUGAUCCAUGGCUCAGGAUGAACGCUAGCUACAGGCUUAACACAUGCAAGUCGAGGGGCAGCAUGAACUUAGCUUGCUAAGUUUGAUGGCGACCGGCGCACGGGUGAGUAACACGUAUCCAACCUUCCGUUUACUCAGGGAUAGCCUUUCGAAAGAAAGAUUAAUACCUGAUAGUAUGGUGAGAUUGCAUGAUAACACCAUUAAAGAUUUAUUGGUAAACGAUGGGGAUGCGUUCCAUUAGGUAGUAGGCGGGGUAACGGCCCACCUAGCCUGCGAUGGAUAGGGGUUCUGAGAGGAAGGUCCCCCACAUUGGAACUGAGACACGGUCCAAACUCCUACGGGAGGCAGCAGUGAGGAAUAUUGGUCAAUGGGCGAGAGCCUGAACCAGCCAAGUAGCGUGAAGGAUGAAGGUCCUACGGAUUGUAAACUUCUUUUAUACGGGAAUAAAGUUUCCUACGUGUAGGAUUUUGUAUGUACCGUAUGAAUAAGCAUCGGCUAACUCCGUGCCAGCAGCCGCGGUAAUACGGAGGAUGCGAGCGUUAUCCGGAUUUAUUGGGUUUAAAGGGAGCGCAGACGGGAGAUUAAGUCAGUUGUGAAAGUUUGCGGCUCAACCGUAAAAUUGCAGUUGAUACUGGUUUCCUUGAGUGCAGUUGAGGCAGGCGGAAUUCGUGGUGUAGCGGUGAAAUGCUUAGAUAUCACGAAGAACCCCGAUUGCGAAGGCAGCUUGCUAAACUGUAACUGACGUUCAUGCUCGAAAGUGUGGGUAUCAAACAGGAUUAGAUACCCUGGUAGUCCACACGGUAAACGAUGGAUACUCGCUGUUGGCGAUAUACUGUCAGCGGCCAAGCGAAAGCAUUAAGUAUCCCACCUGGGGAGUACGCCGGCAACGGUGAAACUCAAAGGACAUUGACGGAAGGGCGA
rnacentral:rRNA from 1 species